AGUGAACGCUGGCGGUAGGCCUAACACAUGCAAGUCGAACGGCAGCACAGUAAGAGCUUGCUCUUACGGGUGGCGAGUGGCGGACGGGUGAGGAAUACAUCGGAAUCUACUUUUUCGUGGGGGAUAACGUAGGGAAACUUACGCUAAUACCGCAUACGACCUACGGGUGAAAGCAGGGGAUCUUCGGACCUUGCGCGAUUGAAUGAGCCGAUGUCGGAUUAGCUAGUUGGCGGGGUAAAGGCCCACCAAGGCGACGAUCCGUAGCUGGCCUGUGAGGAUGAUCAGCCACACUGGAACUGAGACACGGUCCAGACUCCUACGGGAGGCAGCAGUGGGGAAUAUUGGACAAUGGGCGCAAGCCUGAUCCAGCCAUACCGCGUGGGUGAAGAAGGCCUUCGGGUUGUAAAGCCCUUUUGUUGGGAAAGAAAAGCAGCAGGUUAAUACCCCGCUGUUCUGACGGUACCCAAAGAAUAAGCACCGGCUAACUUCGUG
rnacentral:rRNA from 1 species